rnacentral:snRNA from 1 species
GUAUUUCUCUUUAUUAAAAACGU